AGAAAAAAAAAAGAAAAAAAAUUCUUUAGUGCCUUUUUUUAAAGAUUUAUUUCUUAUAUAUAAGUACACUGUAGCUGUCUUCAGACACAAGAAGGCACCAGAUCUCAUUACAGAUGGUUGUGAGCCACCAUGUGGUUGCUGGCAUUUGAACUCAGGUCCUCUGGAAGAGCAGUCAGUGCUCUUAACCACUGAGCCAUCUCUCCAGCCCAUGUGCUUUUUUGUUUUUGCAGUUAGCUAACAUUUUCGGUUUUUCAUAAUUUGGUUAAUUCUUAACUUUUUUUUCCUGCUGGCUUGUGGGUUCCUAGGCUCCAUCACAGGUGUAUGGAGGAGUGACUUACUAUAACCCUGCCCAGCAGCAGGUACAGCCAAAGCCCUCUCCACCCCGGAGGACUCCCCAGCCAGUCUCCAUCAAGCCCCCUCCAUCUGAGGUAUGGCUCCCUCCCAUACUCCUAACAUAUGGGCUUUGCUUUCUCCAGAGAAUUUCUUUUCUCUUCCUUUUAGGGUGUGUUUCUAUGGAAGUCUUCCUUUUUUUAUUUUGUAUGGCGUGGUAUGAUAACAAUUUCCAACUUUAUUUGUUUCAGGUUGUAAGCAGAGGUUCCAGUUAAUAAGAGUUUUCAACUAUUUUAAGUAUAACAUCAUGUGAAUGUAAGUACCCAAUGUACUGCGACUCUUAGUCUAAGACUGACGCUCACACUUAGGUGCUUAAUAAAACCACCUCAUUAAUGCCGACUCAGGGAACUUGUUUUAUGAAUGCACUGGGCAGAAUUGACAAGCAGCCUCUUCUACCUUCAGAUUUUUCCUCGGGAAACUGCAGAAUGAAAAUACAGGAGCCCAGUCUAAACUAGAUUAAGGAAA
rnacentral:lncRNA from 1 species